GUGUCAGCAGCCGCGGUAAUACGGAGGGUGCAAGCGUUAUCCGGAUUUACUGGGUUUAAAGGGUGUGUAGGCGGCUUUUUAAGUCAGGGGUGAAAUCCCGAGGCUCAACCUCGGAACUGCCUUUGAUACUAUUAAGCUUGAAUUAUGUUGAGGUUGGCGGAAUAUAACAUGUAGCGGUGAAAUGCAUAGAUAUGUUAUAGAACACCGAUUGCGAAGGCAGCUGGCUAAACAUAUAUUGACGCUGAGGCACGAAAGCGUGGGUAGCGAACAGGAUUAGAUACCCUGGUAGUCCACGCCCUAAACGAUGAUUACUCGUCAUUUGCGAUACACAGUAAGUGACCAAGCGAAAGCGUUAAGUAAUCCACCUGGGAAGUACGACCGCAAGGUUGAAACUCAAAGAAAUUGACGG
rnacentral:rRNA from 1 species